rnacentral:rRNA from 1 species
CCUACGGGAGGCAGCAGUAGGGAAUAUUGCUCAAUGGGGGAAACCCUGAAGCAGCAACGCCGCGUGGAGGAUGAAGGUUCUCGGAUUGUAAACCCCUUUUGGUAGAGAAGAAAAUGACGGUAUCUAACGAAUAAGCACCGGCUAACUCCGUGCCAGCAGCCGCGGUAAUACGGAGGGUGCAAGCGUUACUCGGAAUCACUGGGCGUAAAGGGCGCGUAGGCGGGAUAGCAAGUCAGAUGUGAAAUCCUCUGGCUUAACCAUAGAACUGCAUUUGAAACUGUUAUUCUAGAGUAUGGGAGAGGUAGGUGGAAUUCUUGGUGUAGGGGUGAAAUCCGUAGAGAUCAAGAAGAAUACUCAUUGCGAAGGCGACCUGCUAGAACAUAACUGACGCUGAUGCGCGAAAGCGUGGGUAGCAAACAGGAUUAGAUACCCCAGUAGUC